rnacentral:rRNA from 1 species
UACGUAGGGGGCAAGCGUUGUCCGGAAUCAUUGGGCGUAAAGAGCGUGUAGGCGGCCAGAAAAGUCCGCUGUGAAAACUCGAGGCUCAACUUCGAGCUGUCGGUGGAAACUUUCUGGCUAGAGUCCGGAAGAGGAGAAUGGAAUUCCUGGUGUAGCGGUGAAAUGCGCAGAUAUCAGGAAGAACACCCGUGGCGAAGGCGGUUCUCUGGGACGGUACUGACGCUGAGGCACGAAGGUCAGGGGAGCAAACGGG